rnacentral:rRNA from 1 species
CCUACGGGGGGCAGCAGUGGGGAAUAUUGCACAAUGGGGGAAACCCUGAUGCAGCGACGCCGCGUGAGUGAAGAAGUAAUUCGUUAUGUAAAGCUCUAUCAGCAGGGAAGAAAAUGACGGUACCUGAGUAAGAAGCCCCGGCUAACUACGUGCCAGCAGCCGCGGUAAUACGUAGGGGGCAAGCGUUAUCCGGAUUUACUGGGUGUAAAGGGAGCGUAGACGGCAGUGCAAGUCUGGAGUGAAAGGCGGGGGCUCAACCCCCGGACUGCCUUGGAAACUGUACGGAUUGAGUGCAGGAGAGGUAAGUGGAAUUCCUAGUGUAGCGGUGAAAUGCGUAGAUAUUAGGAGGAACACCAGUGGCGAAGGCGGCUUACUGGACUGUAACUGACGUUGAGGCUCGAAAGCGUGGGGAGCAAACAGGAUUAGAUACCCGAGUAGUC